rnacentral:rRNA from 1 species
GAUGAACGCUGGCGGCGUGCCUAAUACAUGCAAGUCGAGCGAAUGGAUUAAGAGCUUGCUCUUAUGAAGUUAGCGGCGGACGGGUGAGUAACACGUGGGUAACCUGCCCAUAAGACUGGGAUAACUCCGGGAAACCGGGGCUAAUACCGGAUAACAUUUUGAACCGCAUGGUUCGAAAUUGAAAGGCGGCUUCGGCUGUCACUUAUGGAUGGACCCGCGUCGCAUUAGCUAGUUGGUGAGGUAACGGCUAACCAAGGCAACGAUGCGUAGCCGACCUGAGAGGGUGAUCGGCCACACUGGGACUGAGACACGACCCAGACUCCUACGGGAGGCAGCAGUAGGGAAUCUUCCGCAAUGGACGAAAGUCUGACGGAGCAACGCCGCGUGAGUGAUGAAGGCUUUCGGGUCGUAAAACUCUGUUGUUAGGGAAGAACAAGUGCUAGUUGAAUAAGCUGGCACCUUGACGGUACCUAACCAGAAAGCCACGGCUAACUACGUGCCAGCAGCCGCCGUAA